rnacentral:rRNA from 1 species
UGGUUAAUAUUGGACAAUGGGCGCACGCCUGAUCCAGCCAUGCCGCGUGAGUGAUGAAGGCCUUAGGGUUGUAAAGCUCUUUCACCCACGACGAUAAUGACGGUAGUGGGAGAAGAAGCCCCGGCUAACUUCGUGCCAGCAGCCGCGGUAAUACGAAGGGGGCUAGCGUUGUUCGGAUUUACUGGGCGUAAAGCGCGCGUAGGCGGACCGUUAAGUCGGAGGUGAAAGCCUGGGGCUCAACCCCAGAACUGCCUUCGAUACUGGCGGUCUCGAGUCCGGGAGAGGUGAGUGGAACUGCCAGUGUAGAGGUGAAAUUCGUAGAUAUUGGCAAGAACACCAGUGGCGAAGGCGGCACACUGGCCCGGUACUGACGCUGAGGUGCGAAAGCGUGGGGAGCAAACA